CCCAGACUCCUACGGGAGGCAGCAGUGGGGAAUAUUGCACAUUGGGGGAAACCCUGAUGCAGCGACGCCGCGUGAGUGAAGAAGUAUUUCGGUAUGUAAAGCUCUAUCAGCAGGAAAGAAAAUGACGGUACCUGACUAAGAAGCCCCGGCUAACUACGUGCCAGCAGCCGCGGUAAUACGUAGGGGGCAAGCGUUAUCCGGAUUUACUGGGUGUAAAGGGAGCGUAGACGGUGAAGCAAGUCUGAUGUGAAAUACCGGGGCUCAACCCCGGGGCUGCAUUGGAAACUGGCAGGCUGGAGUGUCGGAGAGGCAGGCGGAAUUCCUAGUGUAGCGGUGAAAUGCGUAGAUAUUAGGAGGAACACCAGUGGCGAAGGCGGCCUGCUGGACGAUGACUGACGCUGAGGCUCGAAAGCGUGGGGAGCAAACAGGAUUAGAUACCCUGGUAC
rnacentral:rRNA from 1 species